GUAAAUAUAGUUUAAAAAAACGCUAGACUGUGAAUCUAACAAUANAAGCCCAUUGCCUUCUUAUUUACC
rnacentral:tRNA from 1 species